ACCCUUAUCGCAUGUUCAAUAGUCUUGCGAAACUGCCUUGCGUAUAGCGGGGAGGAAGGAGGGGAUGACGUCAAGUCAGCAUGGCGCUUAUGUCUGGGGCCACACACAUCCUACAAUGGGGAGUAACAACGGGUUGCCAAGCCGCAAGGCGGAGCUAAUCCCAUCAAACCUCCCCCCAGUUCAGAUUGAGGGCUGCAACUCGCCCUCAUGAAGACGGACUUGGUAGUAAUCGCGGAUCAGCAGGCCGCGGUGAAUACGUUCUCACUUCUUGUACACACCGCCCAUCAAGCCAGCAAAGUCGGCAAUACCUGAAACU
rnacentral:rRNA from 1 species